AACGAACGCUGGCGGCAGGCCUAAUACAUGCAAGUCGAGCGAGAAGCUUUCCUUCGGGGAAGUGGACAGCGGCAGACGGGUGAGUAACGCGUGGGAACGUACCCUUUGGUUCGGGACAACUCCGGGAAACUGGAGCUAAUACCGAAUAAGCCCUACGGGGGAAAGAUUUAUCGCCGAAGGAUCGGCCCGCGUCUGAUUAGCUAGUUGGUGGGUAAAGGCCUACCAAGGCGACGAUCAGUAGCUGGUCUGAGAGGAUGAUCAGCCACACUGGGACUGAGACACGGCCCAGACUCCUACGGGAGGCAGCAGUAGGGAAUAUUGGACAAUGGGCGCAAGCCUGAUCCAGCCAUGCCGCGUGAGUGAUGAAGGCCCUAGGGUUGUAAAGCUCUUUCGGCGGGGACGAUAAUGACGGUACCCGCAGAAUAAGCCCCGGCUAACUUCGUG
rnacentral:rRNA from 1 species